CCUCUCGAAAGCGAGUGCGGGGCUGCUCUCCUCUCAGCUGGAAGCAGCUUUUACACUGACACUGCACACAAAAGCUGAUUGUCUCUUCUCCAAGGGGGCCCCUCCCUGCAGGAAGAAUGUACACUCCCAUCCUGUAGUUCAGCUUGGCCCUGUAACUCUGGCCAAUGGAGUGCCAGCAGAAGUGAAAAAAGCUGCAUCUGAGAAGUUUAAAGAGUCACACAUUUAUUCCACGACUGCUUCUCUCCUUGUAAGUGUACCUGCCUCCCUGAGUCAAGAAGAUUCCCUGGAGUUGGAAAUGGCAACUGGCUCCAGCUUCAGUAUUCUAGCCUGGAAAUCCCAUGGAAAGAGGAGCUUGGCAGGUGGGUACAAUUCCAUGGGGUCCCAAAGGGUCAAAUACAACAGCAUGAGUAAAAGCACAAGAA
ensembl:lncRNA